UUGACCCUUCGGAUGAUUUGUUGGGCGUCGAGCGGCGGACGGGUGAGUAAUGCCUGGGAAAUUGCCCUGAUGUGGGGGAUAACCAUUGGAAACGAUGGCUAAUACCGCAUAACGUCUACGGACCAAAGAGGGGGACCUUCGGGCCUCUCGCUUCAGGAUAUGCCCAGGUGGGAUUAGCUAGUUGGUGAGGUAAUGGCUCACCAAGGCGACGAUCCCUAGCUGGUCUGAGAGGAUGAUCAGCCACACUGGAACUGAGACACGGUCCAGACUCCUACGGGAGGCAGCAGUGGGGAAUAUUGCNCAAUGGGNGCNAGCCUGAUGCAGCCAUGCCGCGNGUAUGAAGAAGGCCUUCGGGUUGUAAAGUACUUUCAGUCGUGA
rnacentral:rRNA from 1 species